rnacentral:rRNA from 1 species
CCUACGGGUGGCAGCAGUAGGGAAUUUUGCGCAAUGGGCGAAAGCCUGACGCAGCAACGCCGCGUGAUCGAGACGCCCUUCGGGGUGUAAAGAUCUGUCAGAUGGGACGAAACUUGACGGUACCCACAGAGGAAUCACCGGCUAACUCCGUGCCAGCCGCCGCGGUACGACGGGGGGUGCAAGCGUUGUCCGGAAUCAUUGGGCGUAAAGAGUUCGUAGGCGGCACGUAAAGUCUGGUGUUAAAGGGAGAGGCUCAACUUCUGUACGGCACUGGAUACUUGCGAGCUAGAGUGCGGUAGAGGUAGAGGGAAUUCGUGGUGUAGCGGUGAAAUGCUUAGAUAUCAGGAGGAACAUCGGUGGCGUAAGCGGUUUGCUGGGCCGUAAUUGACGCUGAGGAACGAAAGCCAGGGUAGCAAAUGGGAUUAGAUACCCGAGUAGUC